rnacentral:lncRNA from 1 species
UCUGCACUGCUAGAGGCCAGGCCUGAAGAGAAUGUUGGAUACCCUGGAGCUAGAGGUUUGUGAAUCACCAUGUGGGUGCUGGGGCUAGAACCCUGGGUCCUCUGGAAGAGCAGCCAGCGCUUUUAACCCUUGAGCCAUCUUUCCAACCUUUGUGUGUGUGGGUGCUCUUGUUUGUUUUUGUCUGUUUUGAUUUUUAGGUUUUUUUUUUUUUUUUGGUUUUUUGAGACAGGGUUUCUCUGUGUAGACCAGGCUGGCCUUGAACUCAGAAAUCCGCCUGCCCCCUGAGUGCUGGGAAUAAAGGCGUGCACCACCACGCCCAGCUUUUUUUUUUUUUUUUUUUUUGAGACAAGUUCUCCCUGUGUAGCUCUGGCUAUCCUGGAACUUGGGCUGGAGAUACACCUGCCUCUGCCUCCCUGAGUUCUAGGAUUAAAGGUGUACAACUCCUGAUCCUAUUACCUUCUUUAAAGGGAUUGUUUUUUGAGAAAGCGUCUAUGCUGCCCUAGGUGGCCUAACCUCCCAAUAUGUGGGAGGAUCCCCCUUGAACUCCUACUCUUUCCCUCCACUUCCUAAUUAUUUGGGAUUAUAGGUGAACCCAAUAGGAUUAUAUAUUGGGAUUAUAUAAGAUCAAGGCCAGAUAGGUCUAUAUAGUGUGCACACAUCUCAUUUAUUUUUGUUUUUUGUGAUGAGGUUUCUGUGUGGACCAGGUUUGCACCAUUGUGCACAUUUUGAAGAGGUCAGAUACCUGGUCUUUUUAAAAUGGUCAUUCUACAGGGUUAAAGAGGUGGCUCAUCCUUUAGCAGAGGAUCUGGGUUCAAUUCUCAAACCCCACAUGGUGGUUGACAACAGUACCAGAUUUCAGGGGAUCAGGGUUAGGAACCCUCUUCUGGCUUCCGUGGACACUGGGUAUAUAAGCAGUGUCCUUAUGUACAUGUAGGCAAAAAACACGUAAAGUAAAUAGGAACAACUCCUUCAAUGAUAAAAAUGUUCACUAUAUACCAUUUUGUAAACAUCAAGUCAUUUAUGUAACUAUUGACGUAGAAUUCUAAAGUGAAAUUGGAAAAUUCUGGUUGAUAGUGUAUAGUUUAAUGUUUGCUGUAAACAGACUUUUUCUUUGAGAUAGGAUAGGGUCUUACUAUAUAUAGCCCCGGCUAUAAUCUCACUGUAUGGUCCUGGAACUCAUGUAGACCAAGGUGGACUUGAACUCAAGAUCAGACUGCCUCUGCCUUCUAGGUAUUGGGAUUAAAAGUUAAAUUCCACAAUG